rnacentral:rRNA from 1 species
GACGAACGCUGGCGGCACGCUUAACACAUGCAAGUCGAACGUGAAGCCCCGAGCUUGCUCGGGGUGGAAAGUGGCGAACGGGUGAGUAACACGUGAGAAACCUGCCCCGAAGACCGGAAUAACACCGGGAAACCGGUGCUAAUACCGGAUGCCCUCACCGGACCGCAUGAUCCGGUGAGGAAAUGGAUUCCGCUUCGGGAUGGUCUCGCGGCCUAUCAGCUUGUUGGUGGGGUAACGGCCCACCAAGGCUUCGACGGGUAGCUGGUCUGAGAGGAUGUCCAGCCACACUGGGACUGAGACACGGCCCAGACUCCUACGGGUGGCUG